rnacentral:rRNA from 1 species
AGAGUUUGAUCAUGGCUCAGAAUCAACGCUGGCGGCGUGCCUCAGACAUGCAAGUCGAACGCGAAAGUUCCCUUCGGGGGGCGAGUAGAGUGGCGCACGGGUGAGUAACACGUAGGUAAUCUACCUUCGGAUGGGGAAUAACAACCGGAAACGGUUGCUAAUACCGCAUAAUGCAGCGGCACCUAAUGGUGACAGUUGUUAGAGCGGGGGAUCGUAAGACCUCGCGUCUGGAGAGGAGCCUGCGGCGGAUUAGCUAGUUGGUAAGGUAACGGCUUACCAAGGCUAUGAUCCGUAGCCGGCCUGAGAGGGCGGUCGGCCACACUGACACUGACAUACGGGUCAGACCCCUACGGGAGGCAGCAGUCGGGAAUUUUGGGCAAUGGGCGAAAGCCUGACCCAGCAACGCCGCGUGAAGGAUGAAAUCCUUCGGGAUGUAAACUUCGCAAGAACGGGAAGAAUAAGCCGGUAUUAACACCACCGGUGAUGACGGUACUGUUUGUAAGCUCCGGCUAACUCCGUGCCAGCAGCCGCGGUAAUUC